rnacentral:rRNA from 1 species
UACAGAGGUCCCAAGCGUUGUUCGGAUUCAUUGGGCGUAAAGGGUGCGUAGGCGGCUUUCUAAGUCGGAUGUGAAAACUCUGGGCUCAACCCAGAGCCUGCAUCCGAAACUGGAGAGCUAGGGUUCUGGAGGGGAAAGCGGAAUUCCUGGUGUAGCGGUGAAAUGCGUAGAUAUCAGGAGGAACACCGGUGGCGAAGGCGGCAUCCUGGACCGACACUGACGCUGAGGAGCGAAAGCCAGGGGAGCAAACGGG